UGUUUACUUACAACCACAGCUCUUUGAUAAACACUAAACAUUCACAACUGCUAAGAGUACCUAUUCUUACAAUUUACAAAAUACUUAAGGUUAUGAGUUAGCCUGAGAAAAUUUAAAUGUUUGGGACGCACAUAAAUUUCCCAAACAUGGCAUAACACCACUCACAAUCAAUCAUUAGCUUGAAAAUUCUGGUAGGAAGUCCUGGAAGUUUCAAAUGAAGAAAGCAAACAGCAAAAUAGUCGAGGCUCAACUCUUCUCACAUCUAGCAAU